rnacentral:rRNA from 1 species
UACGUAGGGUGCAAGCGUUGUCCGGAAUUAUUGGGCGUAAAGAGCUCGUAGGUGGUCUGUUGCGUCGGCUGUGAAAACCCGAGGCUCAACCUCGGGCCUGCAGCCGAUACGGGCAGACUAGAGUUCGGCAGGGGAGACUGGAAUUCCUGGUGUAGCGGUGAAAUGCGCAGAUAUCAGGAGGAACACCGGUGGCGAAGGCGGCCAACUGGACAGAUACUGACGCUGAGACACGAAAGCGUGGGGAGCAAACAGG